GAUGAAAUGAAUGGUAGAGAAUGUGCUGGAAUGGUCAGUGAAUGAAUCGAGGUGUAAGAGGAACUCAAGGCGGCCGUGACUUCUGUGAUACAUAGCUGGUAUCAAGGAAAGCUUUGGAGGUUUGAAACGCACCAGGCACUUAAGAGUGCUGGACACUGUGCUAAGCCUAAUAGACUGUACCCUAAUGGGGCAGGGGACUCGGAGGUAGUAAACCAUGUUAGGCCUCAAGAUCACCUACUGUGUACUGAUGGUGGGAAGGUCUAUGACAUCAGAGUGGGAUAGAUGACAGCAUGAGAAUCUCCCAGGAUACCCAGAGUUCCAUAUUACAUCACAUUUGGUCCUGGGUUACUGGGGACCAGUGAUCCAAAGAGAGCCAUCCCAGAUGUCUCUCCUGCUGAUCUUCAGGAUUUCUUGAGCCCCAUUCUUCAAUUAGCCCCUGGCCAGAUGUCCACUGGGAACUUCUGUGCUGUCCUUCAGCCUGGCUCUGGGGUCACUGCAGCCUCCAAGGCCAACACAGUACACGAAAGAAGCCAGAUCAUCACUGUGGAAGUGUGAGGAGGCCCUUCUCCAUGGCCGGCAUCCCUGCUCGCUCUUCUCAGAAGAGGGCCGGGGUACGAUGGCAUCCAGGUCAUCAAUCUCUGUAACAGGAAAAGGAGGAAUUAGAAAGGGAGCGAUGUUUCCAGUGCAAAGCUCAGAGAUGUGAGACGCUCUCCGCAGAAGCCGCCUUCACACACAAGGGCAGCAGUAGCUGCGUGCUCAGUUGUGCACAGGGUUCUCUCCCAGGUUGGCUGCAGACUACCACUGCCUCCCACAGGGGAUUCACAGGGAAUCUGCAGCGCCCCCAUUGACUGGCAUUAAUCUUACCAGACACAGGCUUAGUAACACAUCCAGUUGGCUGUGUUUAUGAUGCCUUUGUCUCUCUUUAAAUCUCUGUACAGCUACAUGGGCAAGCCAACAUGAGUCCCAUUAGACAUUGAAGACAUGCAUCUCUUUUGCAGGUCUCACAGACAGUGCUCCUUCCUGAUUCUUCUAGUCUCAGAGUGUUCUCAGCCUUCUUUGGGGAGAUUUGUCCAGUAAGAGGUGUGGGACACCUUAGAACAAGCCUCAGGGACACAGCCUAUCCUGUAUGAACUUCCGGACACAGCAGUUCCGGUUCUUUCGGAGAUUGAUUUUUCUCCUAAGGUAUCAGACUUCAGUGACCCUGAGCCAGAAUUCACUCUCUAAAGCUCUUGUUCUCAGAGGAAGCAAGUACUUUCCCUUAGCCAGACACCAUCCCUUGGAAGGUUCCAAGCAGCAGGCUCUACAUUUUUCUAGCUUAUUUUGCUUGGUCAUGUUUUAAUAAACAAUGAUAGAACCCAGAGUCUCACAAAAUAAUGCCAUUUCUCAAGAUAGUCCCAGAGGGCUGAAGAGAUGACUCAGCAGUUAGAAGCACCUGCUGCUCUUAUAAGAGGACCUGGGGCCAGUUCCCAGCACCAACAGUAGCUAACUGACUAUAACUCUAGUUUCAGAGUAUCAGACCAUCUCUUCUGGCCUCCAUACAUACAUGCAGGCAAA
rnacentral:lncRNA from 1 species